rnacentral:rRNA from 1 species
GACGUAGGGGGCCAGCGUUGUCCGGAAUCAUUGGGCGUAAAGCGCGUGUAGGCGGCCCGGUAAGUCCGCUGUGAAAGUCAAAGGCUCAACCUUUGAAUGUCAGCGGAUACUGCCGGGCUAGAGUCCGGAAGAGGCGAGUGGAACUCCUGGUGUAGCGGUGGAAUGCGCAGAUAUCAGGAAGAACACCAACGGCGAAGGCAGCUCGCUGGGACGGUACUGACGCUGAGACGCGAAAAGCGUGGGGAGCGAACAGG